UUAAAGGAUACCUACCCUUUGAAGUAACCUCCUGCGAAAGGUUUCAAGGCGAGCGCUCUGCCGGCAGCUGCGACAUUCACGUGUUUCAGGUUGUAUAUGUUGGGGAGAUUGUGAUGGACCGGCUAAUUCAUCAGCUGUUGGCCGCUGUCUAGCAACACCAGCUGGGGUAUUCACUGUUGAAGGUGUCUGGGAUAUAGCUGAAGUUGAAGGUUGUACUCGUCUGGAAGGUUGGGAUGGUCCAGCUAAUUCAUCAGCUGUUGCUGUCUGCUGUCUAGCAACACCAGCUAGGGUAUUCACUGUUGAAGGUGUCUGGGA